AACGAACGCUGGCGGCGUGCUUAACACAUGCAAGUCGAACGAGAAAGUCCCUUCGGGGGCGAGUAGAGUGGCGCACGGGUGAGUAAUGAAUAGGAACAUACCUAAGGGUGGGGGACAACCACGGGAAACUGUGGCUAAUACCGCAUAAUAUCGCAAGAUCAAAGGAGGCCUCUGCUUGCAUGCUUUUGCCCUUAGAAUGGCCUAUUUCCCAUUAGCUUGUUGGUAGGGUAACGGCCUACCAAGGCUACGAUGGGUAGCUGGUCUGAGAGGAUGAUCAGCCACACUGGAACUGAGACACGGUCCAGACUCCUACGGGAGGCAGCAGUGGGGAAUAUUGCACAAUGGGCGAAAGCCUGAUGCAGCAACGUCGCGUGAGUGAAGAAGGCCCUUGGGUUGUAAAGCUCUUUCGGCUAGGAAGAGGGGAGCCUCGAUUAACACCCGGAGCUCUUGACGGUACUAGCAUAAGAAGCACUGGCUAAUUCCGUGCCAGCCGCCGCCGUAAAAC
rnacentral:rRNA from 1 species